rnacentral:rRNA from 1 species
GAUGAACGCUGGCGGCGUGCUUAACACAUGCAAGUCGAACGGUUAAGGCGGAGCUUGCUCUGCUGUAUCAGUGGCGAACGUGUGUGUAACACGUGAGCAAUCUGCCCCUGACUCUGUGAUAAGCGCUGGAAACGGCGUCUACUACUUGCUUCGAGCUGCGAAAGCAUCUUCAGCAGCUGGCCAGAACCUCGGUCAGGGAUCAGCUGGCGGUCUACCAGCUUGUUGGUGAGGUACCUGCUCACCAAGGGGUCGACGGGUAGCCGGCCUGAGAGGGGGGACGGGGACACGGCGACUGAGAGACGGCCCAGACGCGUACGGGAGGCAGCAGUGGGGAAUAUUACACAAUGGGCGAAAGCCUGAUGAAGAAGCGCCGCGAGAGGGACGAAGGCCUUCGGGUGGUAAACCUCUGUUAGCAGGGAAGAAGCGAAAGUGACGGUACCUGCAGAAAAAGCGCCGGCUAACUACGUG